CUCAUUAGGAAAUCCCUCACUCUUGCUACAAUUACCCUUUAGUAAUUAGUUUCUUGUCAGUUCUUUGUUAGUGUAGAUAAUUACCCCGUUUAUCUGUUUAAAAAAAAAAUUACUGUCAGCCGCGGCCGCUUUGGCCAUGCCGGGCUCCACAGGCUUCAAGCGCUGUGCUACAUGCAAAGAAGCUAUCCCACUAUCCGAUGGCCACUCAAAGUGUAUAAAAUGUUUGGGGGAAGCCCACAUUCCCCAAAAAUGUGCCCAUUGCUGUAAACUCAGCUCCAGGGCACGGAAGGACAGGGAGCUUAAACUUAAACUGCUCCUCCUCCAAAAGUCUAUCGGGUCAGUUUCAGACCCAGGCGCUGAAGCUGGCUCCGCUGCCCGCCACAGCCCCCCCGCCUCAAAAAAACUGAAAAAAUCUACAAAGAAGGGGCAGCCUUCUUCACCAAGCAAGGUUAUGAGGCACAAAGUUUCUCCAGGCAGAUCAACGGUCUCCCUACCUGUGUUUCCCCGCCUCAGCAACUUUGAGCCGGGCUCUUCAGGAACCGCGCAAAAGCCCCCUGAGGCUGCGGCGGCGGCGCGAGGCUCCGGUGCCGAGGCAUCAGGCUUCCAGUUGCCUGCCUCUAUCACGGCACCGUUCGGCACCGCGACGGAUGCGGUGCCGACAUUUUACAACAUGCCUGAUCCCAUGCAGGCUGAUAUUGCCCGCCCGGCACCGACCGCGGCACCGACCCCCGUGGUGCAGUCUGACAGGGAGGUCACAGGCAAAACCCCUGCUCAGAGGAAUGCUCCCGCACGGCAGCCUCCCCCUGCUCAGUUUUCACCUCACACAGGAGCCUCACUACUUCACUUUACUCAGACAGCAGAUCUCCUGGUAUCACCUAUCCUGCAGUCUUCCCUGAUGAAUGCAUAUUCUUCUCCAAUGCCUGAGUCAGGAUCUGAGCAGCUUUCCUCCAGUGAGGAGGAAACAGAUCCACAGGGAAUUUUUUCUCCAUAUCAAGACUCCCAACCCCAGACC
rnacentral:lncRNA from 1 species